GACGAACGCUGGCGGCGUGCUUAACACAUGCAAGUCGAACGGAAAGGCCCUGCUUUUGUGGGGUGCUCGAGUGGCGAACGGGUGAGUAACACGUGAGUAAUCUGCCCUUGAUUUUGGGAUAACUUCAGGAAACUGGGGCUAAUAACGGAUAGGAGCUCCUGCUGCAUGGCGGGGGUGGGAAAGUUUCGGCGGUUGGGGCUGGACUCGCGGCUUAUCAGCUUGUUGGUGGGGUAGUGGCUUACCAAGGCUUUGACGGGUAGCCGGCCUGAGAGGGUGACCGGCCACAUUGGGACUCGGAUACGGCCAAGACGCCUACGGGAGGCAGCGGUGGGAGAUAUUGGGCGAUGGGCGGAAGCCGGAUGCAGCAACGCCGCGUGGGGAAUGACUGCCUUCGGGUUGUAAACGGCUUUCGCCUGAGACGAAGAGUGAGUGACGGUAAUGGGUAAGAAAGCACCGGCUAACUACGUG
rnacentral:rRNA from 1 species